rnacentral:rRNA from 1 species
AUGCUGAACAUGGUGAACUCUGACGGAACUACCGCUGUUACAGCCCGCUUUAUCAAGGGUGUUGGCAAAAAGGCCACCAUCACUAGAGGCUGGAGCCACUUCUUCCGUCAGGCACAGAUGAACAAAGGGCAAGCAUAUGUUUUCGCCUUCAAAUGCACUUCCAAGGGACUGCGCCUGAUCGUCUACUCAAUAUAA